CCUACGGGUGGCAGCAGUGGGGAAUAUUGCACAAUGGGGGAAACCCUGAUGCAGCGACGCCGCGUGAGUGAAGAAGGAAUUCGGUAUGUAAAGCUCUAUCAGCAGGGAAGAAAAUGACGGUACCUGAGUAAGAAGCCCCGGCUAACUACGUGCCAGCAGCCGCGGUAAUACGGAGGGGGCAAGCGUUAUCCGGAUUUACUGGGUGUAAAGGGAGCGUAGACGGCGGUGCAAGUCUGGAGUGAAAGGCGGGGGCUCAACCCCCGGACUGCUCUUGAAACUGGACGGCUGGAGUGCAGGAGAGGUAAGUGGAAGUCCUAGUGUAGCGGUGAAAUGCGUAGAGAUUAGGAGGAACACCAGUGGCGAAGGCGGCUUACUGGACUGUAACUGACGUUGAGGCGCGAAAGCGUGGGGAGCAAACAGGAUUAGAUACCCGUGUAGUC
rnacentral:rRNA from 1 species